GAAGUCUUCGGACUUAGUGGCGGACGGGUGAGUAACGCGUGGGAACAUACCCAAAGGUACGGAAUAGCCUCGGGAAACUGGGAGUAAUACCGUAUGUGCCCUUCGGGGGAAAGAUUUAUCGCCUUUGGAUUGGCCCGCGUUGGAUUAGGUAGUUGGUGGGGUAAUGGCCUACCAAGCCGACGAUCCAUAGCUGGUUUGAGAGGAUGAUCAGCCACACUGGGACUGAGACACGGCCCAGACUCCUACGGGAGGCAGCAGUGGGGAAUCUUAGACAAUGGGCGCAAGCCUGAUCUAGCCAUGCCGCGUGAUCGAUGAAGGCCUUAGGGUUGUAAAGAUCUUUCAGAUGGGAAGAUAAUGACGGUACCAUCAGAAGAAGCCCCGGCUAACUCCGUGCCAGCAGCCGCGGUAAUACGGAGGGGGCUAGCGUUAUUCGGAAUUACUGGGCGUAAAGCGCACGUAGGCGGAUUGACAAGUCAGAGGUGAAAUCCCAGGGCUCAACCUUGGAACUGCCUUUGAAACUGUCAGUCUUGAGUUCGAGAGAGGUGAGUGGAAUUCCGAGUGUAGAGGUGAAAUUCGUAGAUAUUCGGAGGAACACCAGUGGCGAAGGCGGCUCACUGGCUCGAUACUGACGCUGAGGUGCGAAAGUGUGGGGAGCAAACAGGAUUAGAUACCCUGGUAGUCCACACCGUAAACGAUGAAUGCCAGUCGUCGGGUAGCAUGC
rnacentral:rRNA from 1 species